rnacentral:rRNA from 1 species
AAAAAGUUCUAAGAGCACAAAGAUUUGGUCCUGGUCUUAUUGUCAGUUAUCUCUUGAUUUACACAUGCAAGUCUCAGCACACCCGUGAGGACGCCCUUACCCCUUCUAUAGGACAAGGAGCUGAUAUCAGGCACUUCCAUCGCCCAUAACAUCUAGUCCGACCACACCCCCAAGGGUAUUCAGCAGUGAUAAACAUUGUUUAUAAGCGACAGCUUGACUCAGUCAAAGAGAAGAGGGCCGGCCAACCCGGUGCCAGCCGCCGCGGCUAAACCCUAGGGCCCAAAUUGAUAAUACUCGGCGUCAAUCGUGAUUAAAGCUUUCUAAAAUUAGAGUAGAACCUAUUAUUAAGCUGUGAAAAGCAAUUUUUUUAGGGAAAAUCAGAAACGAAAGUUACUCUAAUACACACUUGAACACACGACAACUGGGAAACAAACUGGGAUUAGAUACCCCACUAUGCCCAGUCGUAAAAUAUUAACUUACGCACAAAAACGCCCGGGAACUACGAGCCCUAGCUUAAAACCCAAAGGACUUGACGGUGUCCCACCCAACUAGAGGAGCCUGUCCUAUAAUCGAUGGUCCCCGAUAUACCCAACCUUUUCUUGCUCAUCAGUCUGUAUACCUCCGUCGCAAAUCUACCAUAUGAAUGAUACAUAGUUCGGUUCAAUGAUCACUUCAUCAGAACGUCAGGUCAAGGUGCAACCUAUGAA